rnacentral:rRNA from 1 species
AGUUUGAUCCUGGCUCAGGAUGAACGCUGGUGGCGUGCUUAACACAUGCAAGUCGAACGGGAACCUCUGGAUUCGUCUGGAGGGGAGAGUGGCGAACGGGUGAGUAACACGUAGGUGACCUGCCUCGAAGACGGGGAUAACUGCUGGAAACGGUAGCUAAUACCCGAUGGUCUCGAUAAUUCGGUUUGUCGAGUAAAGGCUCCGGCGCUUUGAGAGGGACCUGCGGCCCAUCAGCUAGUUGGUAGGGUAACGGCCUACCAAGGCGAAGACGGGUAGGGGGCGUGAGAGCGUGACCCCCCACACUGGCACUGGGACACGGGCCAGACUCCUACGGGAGGCAGCAGUGAGGAAUAUUGCGCAAUGAGCGAAAGCUAGACGCAGCAACGCCGCGUGGGUGAUGAAGGCCUUCGGGUCGUAAAACCCUUUUCUGGGGGAAGAGUAAGGACGGUACCCCAGGAAUAAGCCUCGGCUAACUAUGUGCCAGCAGCCGCGGUAAUACAUAGGAGGCAAGCGUUAUCCGGAUUUACUGGGCGUAAAGAGCGUUGAGGCGGCUUCGUAAGUUGGACGUGAAAGCUCCCGGCUUAACUGGGAGAGGCCGUUCAAUACUGCGGGGCUUGAGGACAGCAGAGGGGGGUGGAAUUUCCGGUGUAGUGGUGAAAUGCGUAGAUAUCGGAAGGAACACCAGUGGCGAAGGCGGCCCCCUGGGCUGCUCCUGACGCUGAAGGCGAAAGCUAGGGUAGCGAACGGGAUUAGAAACCCCGGUAGUCCUAGCCGUAAACGAUGGAUACUAGGUGUAGGAGGUUAAAACUCCUUCUGUGCCGGAGCUAACGCGUUAAG